GGCCAUGGCGCUCGCAGAUCCGCCCGCCCCGUCAUCGCCGCUGCGCUCGCAGGUGAGCGGCGCCGACCUAACGGAUCUUCCUCGUCGUCAACCCGGCGUACUGGUGUGGUGGAUCCGCCUCCUCUCUGUUUCAACCAUGGUUGUGCUCUUUCAUGUGCGCGGCCCUCUCCGUGACAACUGCAGCCCAAGGUCGUCAAAUCCAUCACCGUCGCCAUUCUUCUGCUCGAGGCCUUUGCCACCAUGGAUGGAUGCGGGCAAGGCCAGCCUCCCCCUCCCCACGCAUAGGUGACUAUGGGAGUUGCAUUGACAGAGUCCAUGUAUUAAACUGGGGCAUUUUUGGCAGCUGCAGCAACCUGACAAUUAAUUCGUUCUCAUCCAAGGUUUACCGCUCGUCUUGCUAAUGUUAAUUUGUAUGUUUGUUGAUGGCUUGCUUCCCAACCACAUGUGCUCCCCACGGUGAGGAACGGACGUGCUCAACGCCUUCCUUCCCAACCAGAUAUGAGAAACAAGAAAUAGGACCAAGAAAAUUAGUUGCUCAUAUAUUCAUCUGUCUUGCGGAGAAGAACCCGAAUGGAGAACUUGGUAUGCCGAGUAAUGUGCAGGUUGCUUUUGUCCUCUCACUUGCUCUUUGGUCUUCGUCUGUUGCUCUGCUGGCUCGUCAUCUCCUUGGUUGGAGGUUGUUCUUGGUCCUGCCAUUUGUUCUUGUCAGAGCUCACUGAAAAUAUUUGUUCUCACCUAUGCUAAUGCCUUUCGGUUAAACUAGGAAUUAUUUCAUUGUUGGAAGCUUUCAUCUGCAUAUAUGCGUAAGGGGCUGUGUAUUUAUUUUGUUUCAUUCAUUUUUUGGUCUAUUUAUUUUGCACAGAAAGCCAUUUGUGGUAUGCUUUGAUGGGUCUUAUUUAAUACAAUACAGACAAAAUUGGAAGUAGUAGCAAACCAGCCAUGAAAUUUUUGAGAGAACUAUGCUAACCACAAGCAAUGAUGUACUCCUGGAUUUUGCCAUGAUAUUGUAGCCCACUUCCAAGACUCUAUGUACUAAUGUUAGCUACUUGCUUCUUUAGCUGCUCUAAUUAGGAACCAAUUAUCUGUGUGGUUUAUCGUCUUAAAAUUGUUACUAUUCACUUAGUGGGGGAGUGUAAGAAGUAGCUGAUUUUAGAGAACACUACACACCAGAGCAGGAAGCCAAAGUCAGGAAGGAGAAUGCAUGUACCCUUGAGGACUGAAGAAUGAUGUUUAAUCUUGCUUUUGUCUACGUUGCUAUUCUUGGUUCAGAUCCUUACCUUCGGUUCAGUUCCAUGUAGUCUUAUGGAUAGAUGGACAAGUUGGUGAAAACUGAAAACUACAGGAUGGAUUAAUUAAUCGGUUAAUUAAUCGCUGUUGCCCCCAAUUUUGUUUCAGCUUCAUCAACACCUUACAUUUGCUUGGUAGAAAUUUAAACUGAACACCAAAUUCAUUUAUGUUAUACUCGGGUAAUGGACUUCUUCAGAUAUACAAUUUCCUCGAGCAAAGUUUACAAUGCUUUUGUGCCACUUAUGACAUGCUUCACAAUUUUUUUGUCUUUCCUUGUGGAUCGUCCAUUUGAACAAUAUAUAUCAAUGUAAAUAACCUUACAUUUCCUUCUAUUUCAAUCGAUUUAAGGUACUCAUGUAUAAUGAUUACUAAUGACCAGCUGCAGCCACCGCCUAACCUAACAUUGUUGUAGUCAUGGCUUUUGGCAUCAGUGUAUUCCAUUUAGUUACCUUUGCCUAAUGCGCCCUGAUGAGAGGCAUUCUUUUUGCCCUGUACACAGCUUUGCGUUUUAUGAUUGUUACUAUUUCUCCCUGCAUUCUCUCCUUUGCAUUGUCUGACUAUUACAUGAUUAAUAGAUGAACAAUCCUAUAUCCGCAAUGUAAGGCAAGGGACAAGCUCCUGUGACUAAAUACCUAGUUGUUGAAAGAUUGAAAGCGUAAGCAAGUUCGCCAAAUUCCUUCGGUACUUUCAAAGAAAUCAAUGUCCCAUCUGUUUAUGGAAAACUCUAAGAAGGCUCGAUUGGCACAUGAAGCUCUUAAAUACUUGAGAGCCUUUUACAACAAGGUCCUAUAAGACUACAUACAUAUAUUACACCGGUUGUCCCAGCUCAUAGUUGGUUGUCAACAGUCCGGUUGGUUGAACAAGGUCCUAUAAGACUACAUACAUAUAUUGCUACAGAUAUGGUGUUGCCAUUUUAUUGCUACAGAUAUGGUUGUUCUGAUUGUAUACAUACAUAUAAUUCUGCAGUUUG